rnacentral:rRNA from 1 species
AUGGUCUCAACAGAGGCUACAAAUACUAUUUUUGAUAUGUCUCCUAGUCCUAGCACCCUUGUUGGUAAUGUUCUUUACUGGCCGUCUACCUAUGGGCGAGACAACAUACUUCAAUUUGAUUUGGACAGUCAGAACCUUAAGGUGAUUAGAGGGCCUCGCUGUAUGAAUAAUAGGUUGAUCGACCACUUUCAGAUUUUCCAGGCAGAGGAUGGUGUUGUUGGUCUCAUCGUGUUGUCUUGCCAUAACCUUCAAAUCUGGAAAAGAAAGGUGGACUGUAAGGGUGUUGCCAUCUGGUUGAGGCAGAAGACGGUUGCGUUGCGUAACAUUCUUGAGCUCCCUCCUAAGAUUAGGAAAAGGAGGGAACUGCAUGGAAAAUUUGUUGGUCACGAUGAGGACAACAAUGCAAUGUUUUUAUAUAUCGACGGCAAUGUCUAUAUGGUUCAACUCAAGUCAAUGCAAUCCAAGAAACUCAAGGGGAUCGGUUCUGCUAGUUACUGUUAUCCUUUCACAAGUUUCUAUCCACCAAGCACAACUACUACUGCUGAAAAUGGAGCUGAAAUGUUAGGAUGA